AGAGUUUGAUCAUGGCUCAGAACGAACGCUGGCGGCAGGCUUAACACAUGCAAGUCGAACGAUGUAGCAAUACAUAGUGGCGCACGGGUGAGUAACACGUGGGAACAUGCCCUUCAGUCCGGAAUAACCACUGGAAACGGUGGCUAAAACUGGAUAUUCCCUCCGGGGGAAAGUUUACGCUGAAGGAUUGGCCCGCGUUAGAUUAGGUAGUUGGUGGGGUAAUGGCCCACCAAGCCUACGAUCUAUAGCUGGUCUGAGAGGACGACCAGCCACACUGGAACUGAGACACGGUCCAGACUCCUACGGGAGGCAGCAGUGGGGAAUAUUGGACAAUGGGCGCAAGCCUGAUCCAGCCAUGCCGCGUGAGUGAUGAAGGCCUUAGGGUUGUAAAGCUCUUUUGUCAGGGAAGAUAAUGACGGUACCUGAAGAAUAAGCACCGGCUAACUUCGUGCCAGCAGCCGCGGUAAUACGAAGGGUGCUAGCGUUGUUCGGAAUUACUGGGCGUAAAGCGCGCGUAGGCGGUUUAACAAGUCAGAGGUGAAAGCCCUGGGCUCAACCCAGGAAUUGCCUUUGAAACUGUUAGACUUGAGUGUCGGAGGGGAUAGCGGAAUUGCUAAUGUAGAGGUGAAAUUCGUAGAUAUUAGCAGGAACACCGGUGGCGAAGGCGGCUAUCUGGACGACAACUGACGCUGAGGCGCGAAAGCACGGGGAUCAAACAGGAUUAGAUACCCUAGUAGUCC
rnacentral:rRNA from 1 species